rnacentral:rRNA from 1 species
UACAGAGGGUGCAAGCGUUAAUCGGAAUUAUUGGGCGUAAAGGGUGCGUAGGUGGUUUGAUAAGUUAGGUGUGAAAGUCCUGGGCUUAACCUGGGGAUUGCGCCUAAUACUGUUAAGCUUGAGUACUGUAGAGGAAGGUGGAAUUUCCGGUGUAGCGGUGAAAUGCGUAGAUAUCGGAAGGAACAUCAGUGGCGAAGGCGACUUUCUGGACAGAUACUGACACUGAGGCACGAAAGCGUGGGGAGCAAACAGG